UACGGAGGGAGCUAGCGUUGUCCGGAAUUAUUGGGCGUAAAGAGCUCGUAGGCGGUUUGUUGCGUCGGCUGUGAAAUCCCGAGGCUCAACCUCGGGUCUGCAGUCGAUACGAGCAAACUAGAGUGUUGCAGGGGAGACUGGAAUUCCGGGUGUAGCGGUGAAAUGCGUAGAUAUCCGGAGGAACACCGGUGGCGAAGGCGGGUCUCUGGGCCGAUACUGACGCUGAGGAGCGAAAGCGUGGGGAGCAAACAGG
rnacentral:rRNA from 1 species